UACGUAGGUGGCAAGCGUUGUCCGGAUUUACUGGGUGUAAAGGGCGUGUAGCCGGGCUUACAAGUCAGAUGUGAAAUCCGGGGGCUCAACCCCCGAACUGCAUUUGAAACUGUAGGUCUUGAGUAUCGGAGAGGCAGGCGGAAUUCCUAGUGUAGCGGUGAAAUGCGUAGAUAUUAGGAGGAACACCAGUGGCGAAGGCGGCUUACUGGACUGUAAAUGACGCUGAGGCUCGAAAGCGUGGGGAGCAAACAGG
rnacentral:rRNA from 1 species